rnacentral:lncRNA from 1 species
GGAGAGAGGGACAACAGUAGGAGCAGGCAGAUCUUGCUGUUUCAACCAAAACCUCAUGCUGACCAGAGUUGAGGAACAGAAGAAGAUGGUGAAGGCCUGCAGGUAUAGGUGUUCAGCAUGUCAUCUGAAAUAUUCCCCACAGAGGCAAAAAGAAAGGAAAUUAUCUCUGAAAAGGAAUGGGAGGACAAGUCAGCAGAAUAUGUCAAUGUUUUGGUUGAAGAAGCUGCUUGAAUCUGGGCUUUUCUGUGCCAUGUGUUCUCCCAGGGCCAGCACAAAGAAGGGCUUUUGGUGCAGGCCCAAGACCACCAUAAUCAUCAUUGAUUAUUCCUCUCCACGCCAGUGUCUCUAAAUAAACUUUCUCUUCUUUCUCUGACAAAGGUGUUUUUGAGUGUUACUGUUUAGCUGAAGAGUGACGUUGAGUGACCUUAGUACCCUAGCCCUUCAUGUAAUCAGAUGGGUGUUGUAAGCAGAGGGAGAACCAUCAGAAAUGAAGAUGCUUGUUUUCCUAGAAACAAGCCCAGGUCAUCCAUCAUGAAGUCCAGGAAUUGUAAAUGUGAGGAAGUGCAAAGACACAACGUACACUUACAAAGGCAUAUGUGCAUUUGGAAUUCUUUAAAGGACAACAUCCUCGAGCUUCUCCUGGAGUUAAACUAGAAAAUCACAGGAAAAGAUUAAAAAAUGGAGAUCAAGAGAAAGAGGGAAAAACAAAGACCAGAAUAAACAUAAUUUCUAUUCAUCCCCUGGAUUAGUGAGCACAAGCCAUGCUUCUUGAUUCGAGCUCAGGUGAAGGGUGAAAUGCAGCCACAUCUAUAUUUUCCAAUGCCUUAUCUGUCUUCCUUUUUGGUCUCUUUGCUUGUUUUAUUUUAUAGGCUCAACGCACCUUCAUAUCUAUUAUCAACAAUAAAUGGGCCUGGUAUCAUUGGAAACGUGAAAAAUAGAACGUAAGAACUUUCAACCCCCCAAGUAAACCCUGGCUCCUCCAUUAUCUCUGAGGUUUCCCAUAAGAUCUCUUAAAAGUUUGUUGUUUUCC